UACGUAGGGUGCAAGCAUUGUCCGGAUUUAUUGGGCGUAAAGAGCUCGUAGGCGGUCUGUUGCGUCGGCUGUGAAAACCCGGGGCUCAACCCCGGGCCUGCAGCCGAUACGGGCAGACUAGAGUUCGGCAGGGGAGACUGGAAUUCCUGGUGUAGCGGUGAAAUGCGCAGAUAUCAGGAGGAACACCGGUGGCGAAGGCGGGUCUCUGGGCCAAAACUGACGCUGAGGAGCGAAAGCGUGGGGAGCAAACAGG
rnacentral:rRNA from 1 species